CUGUACAGGUGACUUUUACUUUGUAACCAUUAGGAAGGGUAACAAGGUAGGGGACAUUUAAGGGUAUAAUAUCAAAAAGUAGAUUUUUGUCAUAAGUCAUAUGGUUAGAAGCCCCUGAAUCAAUGAUCCAGGUAGCAGAAUUAAUGUUUGGAAGCAUGCACAACUUGGAAUCAGAAAUAAGACUCUCAGACAGCAUAGUACCAGCAAAAUUAGCAGAACACAU
rnacentral:lncRNA from 1 species